rnacentral:rRNA from 1 species
GUGGGGAAUAUUGGACAAUGGGCGAAAGCCUGAUCCAGCCAUGCCGCGUGUGUGAAGAAGGUCUUCGGAUUGUAAAGCACUUUAAGUUGGGAGGAAGGGCAGUAAGUUAAUACCUUGCUGUUUUGACGUUACCAACAGAAUAAGCACCGGCUAACUUCGUGCCAGCAGCCGCGGUAAUACGAAGGGUGCAAGCGUUAAUCGGAAUUACUGGGCGUAAAGCGCGCGUAGGUGGUUUUGUAAGUUGGAGGUGAAAUCCCCGGGCUCAACCUGGGAACUGCCUCCAAAACUGCAUGACUAGAGUACGGUAGAUGGUAGUGGAAUUUCCUGUGUAGCGGUGAAAUGCGUAGAUAUAGGAAGGAACACCAGUGGCGAAGGCGACUACCUGGACUGAUACUGACACUGAGGUGCGAAAGCGUGGGGAGCAAACAGGAUUAGAAACCCGAGUAGUCC